UGGGGAAUUUUGGACAAUGGGCGAAAGCCUGAUCCAGCAAUGCCGCGUGUGUGAAGAAGGCCUUCGGGUUGUAAAGCACUUUUGUCCGGAAAGAAAUCCUUGGCUCUAAUACAGUCGGGGGAUGACGGUACCGGAAGAAUAAGCACCGGCUAACUACGUGCCAGCAGCCGCGGUAAUACGUAGGGUGCAAGCGUUAAUCGGAAUUACUGGGCGUAAAGCGUGCGCAGGCGGUUUGCUAAGACCGAUGUGAAAUCCCCGGGCUCAACCUGGGAACUGCAUUGGUGACUGGCAGGCUAGAGUAUGGCAGAGGGGGGUAGAAUUCCACGUGUAGCAGUGAAAUGCGUAGAGAUGUGGAGGAAUACCGAUGGCGAAGGCGGCCCCUGGGCCAAUACUGACGCUCAUGCACGAAAGCGUGGGGAGCAAACAGGAUUAGAUACCCUGGUAGUCCACGCCCUAAACGAUGUCAACUAGUUGUUGGGGAUUCAUUUCCUUAGUAACGUAGCUAACGCGUGAAGUUGACCGCCUGGGGGAGUACGGUCGCAAGAUUAAAACUUAAAGGAAUUGACGGGGUCAUAGCUGUUUCCU
rnacentral:rRNA from 1 species